rnacentral:rRNA from 1 species
UACGGAGGGGGCUAGCGUUGUUCGGAAUUACUGGGCGUAAAGCGCACGUAGGCGGCUUUGCAAGUUAGAGGUGAAAGCCCGGGGCUCAACUCCGGAAUUGCCUUUAAAACUGCAUCGCUAGAAUUGUGGAGAGGUAAGUGGAAUUCCGAGUGUAGAGGUGAAAUUCGUAGAUAUUAGGAAGAACACCAGUGGCGAAGGCGGCUCACUGGUCCGGUACUGACGCUGAGGUGCGAAAGCGUGGGGAGCAAACGGG